GUUAGCGUAGCUUAAAUAAAAGCAUGACACUGAAGAUGUUAAGAUAGACCCUAGGAAGUCCCGCAGGCA
rnacentral:tRNA from 1 species